rnacentral:rRNA from 1 species
GAAGCAGGUUAAUAUUCCUGCACUUUUCUACAGUGCGAUGUGGGGACGGAGAAGGUUAGGUCUACCAGGCGUUGGUUGUCCUGGGGAAAGGCGGUAGGCAUGAUUCUUAGGCAAAUCCGGGAAUCUUUAUGCCGAGCACCGAGACGAGUCCUAUGAGGACGAAGUGACUGACACCACGCUUCCAGGAAAAGCCACUAAGCUUCAGCUGUAGAAAAACCGUACCGUAAACCGACACAGGUAGGCAGGGUGAGAAUCCCAAGGCGCUUGAGAGAACUC